AAAAAUUCUUUGAACAUUAGUGUUGGAAUAUUUUGGCCUAGACCCAUGAGAGUAAGCUGUCAUUCCUGUUCCUUCACCCUGUAUAUUUUUCGCCCUACCUCUAGAGAAAUGCCAGUGUUCUCGUUCUACCUCUCUAGCUAGCUGCAUUGUGAGACACAAAUCCACCUUAUCAUAAGACCUCAACCUCACCCUGAUACAUUCUUUUAAUCCACCCACAAAAU
rnacentral:misc_RNA from 1 species